rnacentral:rRNA from 1 species
CCUACGGGAGGCUGCAGUGAGGAAUAUUGGUCAAUGGGCGGAAGCCUGAACCAGCCAAGUAGCGUGCAGGAUGACGGCCCUACGGGUUGUAAACUGCGUUUAUACGGGAAUAACGCGCCUUACGUGUAGGGCUUUGCAUGUACCGUAUGAAUAAGGACCGGCUAAUUCCGUGCCAGCAGCCGCGGUAAUACGGAAGGUCCGGGCGUUAUCCGGAUUUAUUGGGUUUAAAGGGGGCGUAGGCCGCAUGUCAAGCGUGCUGUGAAAUGUCCGGGCUCAACCCGGGCCUUGCAGCGCGAACUGGGGUGCUUGAGGCCGCGGAAGGCAGGCGGAAUUCGUGGUGUAGCGGUGAAAUGCUUAGAUAUGACGAAGAACCCCGAUUGCGAAGGCAGCUUGCUGCAGCGGAACUGACGUUGAUGCUCGAAAGCGCGGGUAUCGAACAGGAUUAGAUACCCUAGUAGUC